rnacentral:rRNA from 1 species
UACAGAGGGGGCAAGCGUUAUUCGGAAUUAUUGGGCGUAAAGGGCGCGUAGGCGGCUUGGCAAGUGGAUGGUGAAAUCCCUCGGCUUAACCGAGGAACUGCCGUCCAAACUGCUUCGCUUGAGACCGGGAGAGGUGAGUGGAAUUCCCAGUGUAGCGGUGAAAUGCGUAGAUAUUGGGAGGAACACCAGUGGCGAAGGCGGCUCACUGGACCGGUACUGACGCUGAGGAGCGAAAGCGUGGGUAGCAAACGAGG